UUCGCAGAUUGGUCGUGGGGUUUGGCAAGCUGACCACUAACUGCGUCACCUAUUUUUGUUCCCCUGCUUUUCAGUCGAGCGCACUCAGCGGCGAGCGGUUCGGACAAAUCGCAGCGGCCGGCGGCGAGCGACGAGCGGGUGAGCGGCGGCUAUUUUCUGCUCCGGCUCGGUGUCCUCGGCUCCGACGUCGUCGAUGGCUGGAGUCAGCAGCGCCUUGGUCGGCCGGCUGGAUCGGCGGCAAUGGUGUAGAGGGUGGUUUCCGGCGGCGCUGCAGACGGCUUCGGCAUGGUUGUCGGGUAGAGGGGUGGGUGUUGGCUGAGGUCGGAAUCAGCAUCGGCCGGCUCCGUCGCCAGCGUUCCUCCCCCACCAAGGCCCAACACUGUCCGUGGCCGAGGCAACCCGUACCGAAUUCCACCAUCGAGCCGGACGGCCACCGUAGUAGGUAGCUCAAGAAUCCAAGUUCGACCCAGGAGUGCAAGCGUUGAGAAUCCUUGCCAAUUGUCGCAGGCUCGCGUUAGCCAGCGUAGGCACUCGGCAUGGUGAGCUAGCUGCAGCACUGCAGCUUUGAUCGCUGUCGAAGUCUCCUCAUAGGUGCCGGCACGCUGCGCACGAAGAGUGAGCAGCAGUAGCAGGCAACAGCUCCAAUGUCGGUGUCUCUUAGCGCCACUCGCAAAGCAGCUUUAAACUACUCUGCUCUCCUCCAGUAAUUUUUUCAUGUUUCACACUUCUUUCUACCGCAGUCCCACUACUUGUUACUUUUGAUCCUUGCAUCUUAAUAUGGGAAGUUCUAAUUAGGUCUCAGAUUUAUCACUAAUAAAUUUUGUUCUUUAGAAAUUUUCUAUGUUGCUACGUGUGGUAGUUUCAGUUUUUAAGUGGAAAGCAUCUUGUCAUUUUGCAUAAUAAAUAGAGGUGAAUGUGAAGUUAAUUAAGAUGUAAAUUUUGUGUUUUCUGAUGUAUAUUUAUUCCGAUAUGGUGGUUGAGAUAACUAAACAAAUCCGUUUAUUAUGUUUGCUUCCGUACAAAAAAAAAACUUAUUUGUACUUUUAGCUGAUUCUCGUGUGUGGUUGUGGCAUGCAAGAAAGCUCAAGAGAAAUUUUAUAAUCACUGCCGUGGUGACUGCGGGUGGCAUCGGCAUCGGUAUCGGUAUGGUGCUGAACGGCCGGCAGACUCAGCACUGCUGUUUGGUCGUUUCACGGCGGACGAACUACAGUGGUGGAGACUUCGACUUUAAGUACGCGAGCCACCCUUUCCUCCCUUGUCGGCUCUUUUAACCUGGUGUUCAAUGCCAGAAACCUGAUGAGCUGAAUAUAUUAAGGCAAGUUCCCUUCAGUAGUCACGCUAAGUUGGCAGUGGCCGCUGUGGUUGGUACCACUUGGUCUUUGCUCUUUCUAGCACUCUUGGAAAAGCAUAUCGCUGUUCCAGAUUGUGCCUUCUCGGUGAUCUUGUUGCCUUCUUGGCAUGGAAGAAACAAGGAUACAUAUAUACCACUCUAUUUGACCCAGUGCCUGUUGUGUGGCUUCCUCUCUGAACAUCAAAUGAAGCGACAUAAAGUCAGCAUCGACGACAUUAUAUAGCUUCUUUUGUCAAGGAUUAUCAUGUCUCAUGCAUGAGCUAUAAUUAUCCCUUAUUUGAAUUGUGUGUAUACACUAGGCUUCACAUGUAAUUAUUGAGUCUACGCAAAUAUUAUGUGUAUUCCUUUCUUACUAAAUCUCUCAUACACUAGCUGUCGUGAGUUGCUA